UUUACUAUUAUUUUCCGUACAUCAUUCUUGAUCAGAAUCACGGUAAAAGGAAAGCAGAGUGGCGGAUUCCGAUUGCUCUGUUAGAACUUCAACAAUGGCCUCAUGGAGUUCGUCUAUUUGCUAAGAGGAGGAAUUCGGGGAGAAUGCGUUUGAUAGUCAAUCUCGACUUUCAAUCGACACUGUUAGAGGCGGUUUCCAUCCUGUCGUAGUACUACGCCAGCUUAAUCUGCUGCGCCAAGAAUUUGGGCUUUCAAUCUGUCUCCCUAAGAAGGUUGAAGAUUGAUUGCUGGAAACUCUGAUGGAGAUGAGAUUUAGUGGAAAGGCAAGAAUUUAAUGGUGCUAUACAGUGGAAGCUACCCUACGGGUGACUUGGAAAGAGAGGAACCUUAGAAUGUCUGAGGAUAAGUUAAGUUCAGAGGAUUCUUUUAUUUAUAGUAUAUAACACUUAGCCUCGUGGUGGAACUCAGGUCACAAAGAGUUUUAGUGUAAUUAUACCCUUAUCAUGACUAUUAGAAAUUGGAAGGACUUUUUGGGUUAGUCUUUUGUUGGGAGGAGUUCCCUCUACCCCUUGCCCUUUGGCUAUCUUCUCUUUCUUUUGUGUAUA